rnacentral:rRNA from 1 species
GACGAACGCUGGCGGCGUGCCUAAUACAUGCAAGUUGAGCGAUGAAGAUUGGUGCUUGCACCAAUUUGAAGAGCAGCGAACGGGUGAGUAACGCGUGGGGAAUCUGCCUUUGAGCGGGGGACAACAUUUGGAAACGAAUGCUAAUACCGCAUAACAACUUUAAACAUAAGUUUUAAGUUUGAAAGAUGCAAUUGCAUCACUCAAAGAUGAUCCCGCGUUGUAUUAGCUAGUUGGUGAGGUAAAGGCUCACCAAGGCGAUGAUACAUAGCCGGCCUGAGAGGGUGAUCGGCCACAUUGGGACUGAGACAAGGCACAAACGCCUACGGGAGGCAGCAGUAGGGAAUCUUCGGCAAUGGACGAAAGUCUGACCGAGCAACGCCGCGUGAGUGAAGAAGGUUUUCGGAUCGUAAAACUCUGUUGGUAGAGAAGAACGUUGGUGAGAGUGGAAAGCUCAUCAAGUGACGGUAACUACCCAGAAAGGGACGGCUAACUACGUG